AUCAUUGGAAGUUUAGCUGGCAUUGCAGAGCAGAUUUUACAAGCUUCUGGCAUCGGUGGAUAGCUCCAGUUACUAGGCCAUCCCUUAGGAUUGAGGAUGACGAUCUUCCGGUGGGCAAUGCUGUUGUGAUUUCUGAGGUGACUAAAUAGUCCAAUGUUGGAUACGUGCAUCCCACGAAGAUGGCCUACUGACCUUACGUUCCACACAGAAAUCGGGCCUAUCACUGCAAAGUCAGCUUGCACCCAGAGAAUACUC